UACGUAGGGUGCGAGCGUUAAUCGGAAUUACUGGGCGUAAAGCGUGCGCAGGCGGUUUUGUAAGCCAGAUGUGAAAUCCCCGGGCUUAACCUGGGAAUGGCAUUUGGGACUGCAAGGCUUGAGUGCGGCAGAGGAGACUGGAAUUCCUGGUGUAGCAGUGAAAUGCGUAGAUAUCAGGAGGAACACCGGUGGCGAAGGCGGGUCUCUGGGCCGAAACUGACGCUGAGGAGCGAAAGCGUGGGGAGCAAACAGG
rnacentral:rRNA from 1 species